GACCUGGGCCAUUUUGGUCUCCCUUUGGUGAAGCACAAUCAGGUUCUUCUGCUGGUGAUGCAGUGUGGUCAGGGCAUUCCCCACCUCCACCUCAAGAAAACUGGGUCAGUUUUGCAGAUACUCCACCAACCAGUACUCUUUUAACCAUGCAUCCUGCUUCUGUCCAGGACCAGACAACAGUACGAACUGUAGCAUCAGCUACAACUGCCAUUGAAAUUCGUAGGCAAUCCAGUAGUUAUGAUGAUCCCUGGAAAAUAACAGAUGAACAAAGACAGUAUUAUGUAAAUCAGUUUAAAACCAUUCAGCCUGAUCUAAACGGAUUUAUUCCAGGGAACUCUCAGACUUUGAUAAAGAUGGUGCAUUGACACUGGAUGAGUUUUGUGCUGCUUUUCAUCUGGUGGUUGCUAGGAAGAAUGGCUAUGAUUUACCAGAAAAACUUCCUGAAAGCUUAAUGCCCAAACUGAUUGAUUUGGAAGAUUCAGCAGCCCUGAUGCUCUGAUGAUGUCAGGGGCAGAGCAGAACC
rnacentral:lncRNA from 1 species